UGCCAGCCGCCGCGGUAAUACGGAGGGUGCGAACGUUAAUCGGAAUUACUGGGCGUAAAGCGCGCGUAGGCGGUUUGACAAGUUGGAUGUGAAAGCCCCGGGCUCAACCUGGGAACUGCAUUCAAAACUGUCUGACUAGAGUUUGGUAGAGGGAGGUGGAAUUUCCUGUGUAGCGGUGAAAUGCGUAGAUAUAGGAAGGAACACCAGUGGCGAAGGCGGCCUCCUGGACCAAAACUGACGCUGAGGUGCGAAAGCGUGGGGAGCAAACAGGAUUAGAUA
rnacentral:rRNA from 1 species